rnacentral:lncRNA from 1 species
UGCAUAAAUUAUUAAAUAAAACUUUAUUUAUCUCAUCAAAAUGUUAAUUGAUCAAAUGAUCUAAAAGGAUUUAACUUAAUUAAUUGAAACAAGUUUUAUAUAUAGGAAAAUCAUACAAACUUUCUAAAAACAGGCCCAUUAGACAACACCCCACUAGGGGGCGCUGUUAAAAAAUAAAAGCAGAUGGGUGAAUUGAAGAAAAAACCCUUAAGCCUAGCAGCGAAAGGCCCACAAACUCAGGAAAGAGUCCCACGGACCUUCAGUCAACGCGCUGACUGGGAGAGGAAUCAGGACCGUCAGAUCCGUUGAUCUGACUCUGGUCAAAACGUGACGGACGAAGCGAUUUAAGAGUCCUAUCCAGCACUAUGGUGGAGAUCCAAACAAGAUCCCUGGUUGACCAUAGGUCAACCCCUACGCGUGGCAAUGCCCAGACGGGCCAAAUGUUCCCCAUGCAUUUGAAACCCUCUAUCACAUAAAACCAACAAUUUGAGAGAGAGGGAGAGAGAGAGAGAGAGAGAGAGAGAGUUCAUUCUGCAAACUCAAACCUCUCUCUUCACUUCAGAGCUUCUCUUGCUUUGCAAGUGUUCACCGCACCGAUGAGGACCCACCGGAGAAGACGGUGGUGGCCUGUCGCCUGCGGCGGCGCCACCUUCUUCUCCGGCCAAACACUAACCUAAAACAACAAAAUGCAAACACCAACCCCCCCUCGAUCUGGCCCGGGAACACGAAUCCGUCCUUACUUUGUCUUGAAACCCUCUCAAUCAACCGGAUCGGAACCUCAAGUGAGACAAAAAACAAAUUUCAACAAGAGCGAAAACCAACACCAACUAAACCAAAAGCUCUCCUAAUAAAACCAAAUCAAAGCAAGAAUAAUCAGAGAAAUGAGUUCAAACGCAAACCCUAAAUCUGGAAUUAAGCUCUCAACAAUAGUGAUUCUCUGCAAUUGAAAGGGGGUUUCUAAUCGGCUCAACAAGGCGAACACGAUGGUGUAAAGAUUGGUUAAAGCGUGAAGAAGCCUACCUGACCGGAACUUGUUCGGUGAGGUGCUUUCCGGUGACUACAAGAUAAGUUUAUUCUUCUCUCUUCAAAAUGUUCUCUUUAUUUUUCUCUACGUCUUGGAUUGCCUUUCAAUGUUGCGUUCUGAGGUUUAGCUCGUCUUUGUUAGAGUUCCAACGCGAAACUCUAAUUUAGACUCUUAGACUUGAGCUUUUAGAAAUGGAUGGUUAUUGUGUGAACUUUGGCAGAGUAACGGUGUCUAUCGCUCAGCGUAAUGGCUUGGUAUUUAUAGGGAUGUCGUGGAGGAUAUCCUCUUAAUGAUGAGCUGGUAAAUCUUAGGAUAAAUCCGCUAGGAUAUCCUUUGUGCAUCCCAUAUUUCGUGGGGAUCCAGAUUUGUGAAUUCGUUAAGAAUGAAGUCAUUGUUGUCUGUAGCGAAUACGUUCUUUGGCGUUUCUUGUGGUCCCCUGUGCAAAUUGUUCACUUGAUUAAAUUAUUUUAAUUGUUUUCAGCUUUUAAGUGCUUAUGGAGGUAAUGUUAUACAAUAGUUUUGACUUAAAAUUUUAUUUUUUGCAGGUCACAAUGGCAAAGCAAAUCCAAAUGUGAAAGAUGGUCUGUUGUACCAACUCCAUUAGGGAGUUUGAAUUAGGGCGUUCCGAUCCAAGAGAUGAUUUGGCAAUGGUUUUUCAAAAGCUCUGUCUUCAACGGCUAGAUUUGCAGCAUAAUAAUUUGAUUAUUCAUACAUUAGGAUGUAACCCUUUUAUUUUUUGGAUAAUAUUUAUAAUACUUGGACUAUCCUAUAGUAUCUGUAAGAUCCUAGAUUAGAACUUGUUUGUGUAACAAUUUUUUAAACACUCAAGUCUUAGAGUAAUAUCUUAUUGAAAACUGUUUGGACCACAAUAACUAAAA